AGUGAACGCUGGCGGUAGGCCUAACACAUGCAAGUCGAACGGCAGCACAGUAAGAGCUUGCUCUUACUGUUGGCGAGUGGCGGACGGGUGAGGAAUACAUCGGAAUCUACUUUUUCUUGGGGGAUAACGUAGGGAAACUUACGCUAAUACCGCAUACGACCUACGGGUGAAAUCAGGGGAUCUUCGGACCUUGCGCGAUUGAAUGAGCCGAUGUCGGAUUAGCUAGUUGGCGGGGUAAAGGCCCACCAAGGCGACGAUCCGUAGCUGGUCUGAGAGGAUGAUCAGCCACACUGGAACUGAGACACGGUCCAGACUCCUACGGGAGGCAGCAGUGGGGAAUAUUGGACAAUGGGCGCAAGCCUGAUCCAGCCAUACCGCGUGAGUGAAGAAGGCCUUCGGGUUGUAAAGCCCUUUUGUUGGGAAAGAAAAGCAGCAGGUUAAUACCCCGCUGUUCUGACGGUACCCAAAGAAUAAGCACCGGCUAACUUCGUG
rnacentral:rRNA from 1 species